ACAAAGAACCAACUUAUGUCCCACACUUCAUAACUUAUAUGAUUUGUUAUUACAUUUGGAGUCACUUCCGUAUUUUCACAUGUGCAUCGUCUAGUGGAGACCUAAACAUACUAUAAAGAAAAUUAACUUAGAUAUCUACACCUAUGUAAAUGGAAGAAUAUUUUAAGGUGGUUUAAUAUAUAUACAUAUAUAUAUAUGUAAAUUAUAUUUAUACAUAAAUGGAAUAGUAUUUUGGCAUGGAUUGUUAAUAUUAUGUAUAUGUAAGUAAAUGAGUAAGUACUGUUGUGUGAGUAGCAGUGAGAGUUACUUGGAAGAAGGAGUUAAAGAGUAAAUUGAAAGAAGAAAGUGGAAAGUUCCAUUUUGGGAAAUGGGAAGCAGGAGGUGGUAUUAAACACUUUGAGUUUUGUCCUUGCAAGAUAACAAGUUGCCAUUGCUUUUGACAUCUCAUGUGGACAUUUGUCAUGGAAUUGAUUAAUUCCAUAUAUCUCCCAUUCUUUAAAAUAGAUCCGAAUUAGCAUAACUCUCAUUCUAUUCAGAUCUUUCUCUAUUCCCUCUGCCCUUCAUGGUUAAUACCUCUUACUGCUUGAGUUUUGCCAAGUCGAUCCAAGCAAGGAUGAAAUUUUAGAGAAUUUUGCUUAUUUGAGGUCUGGAGCUGUAUGAAGGUCUUAAUUCAACUUUUGAAGGAAGGUAAGCAUUGAAUUGCAAGAUUAUACUUUUAUUAGAGAUAUCUUGGUUUAUAAAAUUGUUCUAGCACUUUUUGCUUCAGGAAUUGUAAGUUUAGAUACAGAAUUUACUUUGAUGUGAGGUUUGUUGCAUCUGUUUAGUAGACUUAAUAAGCUUUUAUUAGCCUUUUAAAUCACUUGGAUUGAAGAAAUCAUGUUCCUGGACAGUACAAAUCACUUGGAAGUUAUGACUUGGUUUAAGGUCUUAAAGGUGUUUAAAUAGGCUAAAAUUUAGUAUUUGUUUAAUUUAAUAAGUUAACUUAUGAACUGGAAAAGUUAAAACUUUGUUGGGGUUUUAUAAAUUGAGUUGUGGAAAUGAUUCAAAGUAUUUAGGAUUCUCUUUUAGACUUGAAAUUUUGCAGAAACUUACUUUUUUAUGUUUAUUUUAUUUACAAAAAAUUUAAGGUCAAUAUCCUUUGUCAAAUUGUGGAAGUCGUACUAUAAAGGUUCAAUAAGGUUUUUUAAAAAAAAAAAAAAGAAAAAAAAAACAUAUUUUUGUGUUUAAUAUUUAGUAAUAGUUAAGUUUCAAUUUUUUUGUUUAUUCAAGAGUUUUAAGUAUUUAGUAGGUAUACGGAUUUAUAUUAUCUUUUAUUUUAUAAAGACUUGUUGAGAAUUGCAAAAUUUAAUGUAAUAAGCUACAAGGUUGCAUAUUUCCAAGUACGCAAACUUGCACUUGAAAUCACAAUUGUACGUGUCUGUGUGAUGCUAUUAGAUGAGUUUGUGAUAAGCUACUAUGUCCUGGGAUCUUCUUUAUGAUAAGAUCAAUGUGAUUGCUAAACAUAUUGAUGAGAAGAUACACAGGCAUGCAUUGGACCAAAAGCAUUCAUGAACUUGACAUACACAUGGAAAGAGAUUUUAUACAUAAAAAAUUACUAGUCUUUUGAAAAUCAUGUGAUGAUCGCCAGUGCACAAGACAUGAUUGCAGACCCAGUAGAGAUGUUGACUAGCAACUUCAUCUACUGCAAUGAUGGAGAUAAGAACACAAAAGAAUUUUUCCGUAAUGGGUUGUUCUAGAUAUCUUAGAGUUGAAAGAUACCGAUAAUAUAUAUAUUGCUUUAGAUCUAUGACGGUCUAGAAACAAAGUUUUUAGUUAUAAAGUUUACGAAAGAUUAUAUAACUAGAUGAUUUUGACGAGUAUACCAAACUUGAGUAGGAAAAAGAAAAAUAGUUGAUGCAUAAUUUUAAAACAGAGAAAAACAUGAUUUUGUUACAUAUAUGCAUUUCAAAUGCAUUGCAUCACAUAGUUUACUUACUAAGCUUUCAGUUCAGAAUAUUUCAGGAUACUUGCGUUGUAAUUGCAUCACAUAGUUUACUUACUAAGCUUUUAGUUCAGAAUAUUUCAGAAUACUUGCGUUGUAAUUGCAUCACAUAGUUUACUUACUAAGCUUUUAAGUCAGAAUAUUUCAGAAUACUUGCGUUGUAAUUGCAUAACCUCAUAUAGUAGGAGGUUAGCUGAAAAUACGUGCAAAGUUAGCAUCCAGUCAAGCCCACCAAAAGGUUUUCCUAACCUACAACUUUCAAAAAGAUUGUCGCAUUUGUAAAUAACGUAUAGUAGUAAAUUUUUGUUAGGCCUUGUUUUUGAAACUAUUACUACCCUGCAAUAUUGUAGAAACCUAUGUAAUAUAAUUUAGUUUUAUAAGUCUA